rnacentral:misc_RNA from 1 species
GAUGAAGAACGUAGCGAAAUGCGAUAAGUAAUGUGAAUUGCAGAAUUCAGUGAAUCAUCGAAUCUUUGAACGCACAUUGCGCCCCCUGGUAUUCCGGGGGGCAUGCCUGUCCGAGCGUCAUUACAACCCUCAAGCUCUGCUUGGUGUUGGGCCCCGCCGCCCCGGCGGGCCCUAAAGUCAGUGGCGGUGCCAUCCGGCUCCGAGCGUAGUAAUUCUUCUCGCUCUGGAGGUCCGGUUGUGUGCUUGCCAUCAACCCCCAAUUUUUUUCAGGUUGACCUCGGAUCAGGUAGGGAUACCCGCUGAACUUAAGCAUAUCAAUAAGCGGAGA